UUGCAUAUCAAAAAGCGGAGGAAAAGAAACCAACAGGGAUUGCCUUAGUAGCGGCGAGUGAAGCGGCAAAAGCUCAAAUUUGAAAUCUGGCUCUUUCAGAGUCCGAGUUGUAAUUUGAAGAAGGUAUCUUUGGGUCUGGCUCUUGUCUAUGUUUCUUGGAACAGAACGUCACAGAGGGUGAGAAUCCCGUGCGAUGAGAUGAUCCAGGCCUAUGUAAAGUUCCUUCGAAGAGUCGAGUUGUUUGGGAAUGCAGCUCUAAGUGGGUGGUAAAUUCCAUCUAAAGCUAAAUAUUGGCGAGAGACCGAUAGCGAACAAGUACAGUGAUGGAAAGAUGAAAAGAACUUUGAAAAGAGAGUGAAAAAGUACGUGAAAUUGUUGAAAGGGAAGGGCUUGAGAUCAGACUUGGUAUUUUGUAUGUUACUUCUUCGGGGGUGGCCUCUACAGUUUAUCGGGCCAGCAUCAGUUUGGGCGGUAGGAGAAUUGCGUUGGAAUGUGGCACGGCUUCGGUUGUGUGUUAUAGCCUUCGUCGAUACUGCCAGCCUAGACUGAGGACUGCGGUUUAUACCUAGGAUGUUGGCAUAAUGAUCUUAAGUCGCCCGUCUUGAAACCACGGACC
rnacentral:rRNA from 1 species